rnacentral:rRNA from 1 species
UGUAAGCGUAUACCAAAGUUGUUGCAGUUAAAACGCUCGUAGUCGGACUUUGGCAGUUCCGGAUGUGUGCACGUCGUGUGCGCACUUCGCGGGGAUUGCUUUUGUGGUCUUGCGUAGGAUGAGGCACUUUUAUUAGUGAACGUCCUCACGCAACCACUUUUUACUGUGAGAAAAUCAGAGUGCUCAAAGCAGGCAUUUGCCGUGAAUGUAUUAGCAUGGAAUAAUAGAUUAGGACUUGGUUCUAUUUUGUUGGUUUGUUGGGACUGAGUAAUGAUUAAGAGGGACAGUUGGGGGCAUUUGUAUUUCGGUGCUAGAGGUGAAAUUCUUAGAUUACCGAAAGACAAACUGCUGCGAAAGCGUCUGCCAAGGAUGUUUUCAUUGA